rnacentral:rRNA from 1 species
UACGAAGGGGGCUAGCGUUGCUCGGAAUCACUGGGCGUAAAGCGCGCGUAGGCGGCUUGUUAAGUCAGGGGUGAAAUCCUGGAGCUCAACUCCAGAACUGCCUUUGAUACUGGCGAUCUUGAGUCCGGGAGAGGUGAGUGGAACUGCGAGUGUAGAGGUGAAAUUCGUAGAUAUUCGCAAGAACACCAGUGGCGAAGGCGGCUCACUGGCCCGGUACUGACGCUGAGGUGCGAAAGCGUGGGGAGCAAACAGG